GUUGAUUGAAGUUUAACACCCAGACUCUGGAGAAUUUGUAUUAAUCUGUAUUAUCCUCAAUGCAGAAACACUAGAUUGUCAGCUCCUGGGGGUAAGAAUUUAUUAAGCCUGUGCUAGUCCUGUAUGUCCAUUAGCUGCUCCACAAACUGCCCUUUCCUGGCAAUAAAUAAUGUCAAUAAAUACAAUGAGCAGAGACACAGCUUCCCAUACAGCAGAUCAG